rnacentral:rRNA from 1 species
UACGGAGGAUCCGAGCGUUAUCCGGAUUUAUUGGAUUUAAAGGGUGCGUAGGCGGCUUUUUAAGUCAGCGGUGAAAUUUUGCAGCUUAACUGUAACAGUGCCGUUGAUACUGGGGAGCUAGGAUUUGGUUGCUGUGGGUGGAAUGUGUGGUGUAGCGGUGAAAUGCUUAGAGAUCACACAGAAUAUCGAUUGCGAAGGCAGCUCACAAAGCCAAGAUUGACGCUGAGGCACGAAAGUGUGGGGAUCAAACAGGAUUA